AACCGCAGUCAUGACUGAGGCUGAUGUCAAUCCAAAGGCCUAUCCCCUUCCUGAUGCCCACCUCACCAAGAAACUAUUGGACCUCAUUCAGCAGUCAUGUAACUACAAGCAGCUUCAGAAAGGAGCCAGUGAGGCCAUCAAAACCCUCAACAGAGGAAUCUCUGAGUUCAUUGUGAUGGCUGCAGAUGCUGAACCACUGGAGAUCGUUCUGCACCUCUCCUGCUGCUGUGUGAAGACAAGAAUGUGCUCUAUGUGCGCUCCAAGCAGGCCUUAGGGCGGGCCUGUGGGGUCUCCAGGCCUGUCAUUGCAUGUUCUGUCACUAUCAAAGAAGGCUCACAGCUGAAGCAGCAAAUCCAGUCCAUUCAGCAGUCUAUCGAAAGGCUCUUAGUCUAAACUGGUGUGACCUCUGCCACACUCGC